GAUGAACGCUGGCGGCGUGCUUAACACAUGCAAGUCGAACGGAAAGGCCCAAGCUUGCUUGGGUACUCGAGUGGCGAACGGGUGAGUAACACGUGGGUGAUCUGCCCUGCACUUCGGGAUAAGCCUGGGAAACUGGGUCUAAUACUGGAUAGGACCACUUCUUGGAUGUUGUGGUGGAAAGUUUUUUCGGUGUGGGAUGAGCUCGCGGCCUAUCAGCUUGUUGGUGGGGUAAUGGCCUACCAAGGCGUCGACGGGUAGCCGGCCUGAGAGGGUGUACGGCCACAUUGGGACUGAGAUACGGCCCAGACUCCUACGGGAGGCAGCAGUGGGGAAUAUUGCACAAUGGGCGCAAGCCUGAUGCAGCGACGCCGCGUGGGGGAUGACGGCCUUCGGGUUGUAAACUCCCUUCGCUAGGGACGAAGCGUUUUGUGACGGUACCUGGAGAAGAAGCACCGGCUAACUACGUG
rnacentral:rRNA from 1 species